rnacentral:rRNA from 1 species
GACGAACGCUGGCGGCGUGCCUAAUACAUGCAAGUUGAGCGCUGAAGGUUGGUACUUGUACCAACUGGAUGAGCAGCGAACGGGUGAGUAACGCGUGGGGAAUCUGCCUUUGAGCGGGGGACAACAUUUGGAAACGAAUGCUAAUACCGCAUAAAAACUUUAAACACAAGUUUUAAGUUUGAAAGAUGCAAUUGCAUCACUCAAAGAUGAUCCCGCGCUGUAUUAGCUAGUUGGUGAGGUAAAGGCUCACCAAGGCGAUGAUACAUAGCCGACCUGAGAGGGUGAUCGGCCACAUUGGGACUGAGACACGGCCCAAACUCCUACGGGAGGCAGCAGUAGGGAAUCUUCGGCAAUGGACGAAAGUCUGACCGAGCAACGCCGCGUGAGUGAAGAAGGUUUUCGGAUCGUAAAACUCGGUUGGUAGAGAAGAACGUUGGUGAGAGUGGAAAGCUCAUCAAGUGACGGUAACUACCCAGAAAGGGACGGCUAACUACGUG